GUCUACAAAGCCUCCUGGACUGGAGACCUCAACGAAGUGGUCUGUUCCAUCUUUUCAAUAUGGCACUCACCAUACAUUACUACAUCACGACAUUUACUUAUUUAAGUAUAUUUAUUAUUGACUAUCUAUCUGUCUCCCCUAACUAGAAUGCAAGCUUUACAAGGGCAGGAAUCUUGGUCUAUCUCGUCCUCUGAUGUAUCCCAAGUGCCUUGAAAUGUGCUUGGCACAGAAUAAGCUCAAACUAAAUUUGAAUAAAUCAGCAUUAAAGAACAAAGUAAGGCUGGACACAGUGGCUCACACCUGUAAUCCCACAGUGGCUCACACCUGUAAUCCCAGCACUUUGAGAGGCUGAGGCAGGAGGAUCGAUUGAGCCCAGGAGUUCGAGGCUGCAGUGAACUGUGAUCGCACCACUCCACUCCAGCCUGGGCGACAGAGUAAGACCCUGUCUCAAAACAAAACAAAACAAAAAAAUCACACACACAUACACACACACACCCUCCAGAGUCAUUUUCUUUCUUUAAUAGUCAUAUGUUCACUGUGCAAACUCUGGACUGACAUUGAACCUGAACAGUGAGAGUAACGGUUGUACAAAUGAUGAUCCAUCAGAGAACAGUGUUGAAGAACCCAUAUAGAUUUGG
rnacentral:lncRNA from 1 species